CAAUAGCGUAUAUUAAAGUUGUUGCGGUUAAAAAGCUCGUAGUUGGAUUUCUGCCGAGGACGACCGGUCCGCCCUCUGGGUGAGUAUCUGGCUCGGCCUGGGCAUCUUCUUGGAGAACGUAUCUGCACUUGACUGUGUGGUGCGGUAUCCAGGACUUUUACUUUGAGGAAAUUAGAGUGUUUAAAGCAGGCUUAUGCCGUUGAAUAUAUUAGCAUGGAAUAAUAAGAUAGGACUUCGGAACUAUUUUGUUGGUUUGCGUUACGAAGUAAUGAUUAAUAGGGACAGUUGGGGGUAUUCGUAUUUCGUUGUCAGAGGUGAAAUUCUUGGAUUUCCGAAAGACGAACUACUGCGAAAGCAUUUACCAAGGAUGUUUUCAUUAAUCAAGAACGAAAGUUAGGGGAUCGAAGAUGAUCAGAUACCAU
rnacentral:rRNA from 1 species